UAUGACCCGGCCCAUUUACAUCUCAAAACCGGUUGAAGCCUAAUCUUCAACCUAGCACCGCAUAUCCCCUCUGUUCUCUCUCCUCCACUCUCUCUUCGUUCCUCUCCCUCUUCCAUUUCUAGCUAACAUCCCAAACCACCUUUAACCAUACACAGACUUUGUCCACCCCCUUUUUAAGCAAAAUCGUCCUUUUUCUGCUUCCAUUUGGCAAUUCUCUGGUCUCACGCUCCAAAUCACAGAAAAAAUCUCCAAAGACCAUAAUAGAUUCCACCAUUUCGGGAAACUAUGAAUACAUCACGUGAUGGUCCGCAAGUUCAUCCAAAAUCGGCCAACGUUCACUUGGAAAAGAUUUUGGACGAGAUUUCGAAAAGGGUCUCAUAUCCCGCCCAAUUUCGAACCUCAAAAAACCCUAGUUUCGUCCUAUAUAUACUAGCAUUAGAGUUCUUUUUUUUGGCAGCUUGAAUGUUCGGAAAAGAAAUACAAAACAAUCUCACUUUACUUCUGGACAUCGAUUUCAAAAUACAAAACAUUUACUCUGUAUUACUCUAUUAUUGUUUCGAAUCCGUCAAUACGAGAGUAGAUUCGAGACCUCCGCGUCCCGUUCACUGCACCCGAAAGAGUUGUUUUGCUGGUUGGAAGCCGAGGUAAUCUAGGGAUUAAUUUGAUCUCUUUUGAUAGUCGGCCAUGCUUAGGAGGUUCUAGUUUUUGUGUCUUUUUUUUUUUUGAUCUUAUACGACACUGGAAUAAGGAUGGCAACAGCCCUUUUGUUUGUCUAAAUUUUCUUUAAAUUGGAGUUUCAGCCCAUUUACAGCCUGCUGGUUGUGGAGAUGUUUCUUUGCUAUUUUCCUUGGCCUCUUCGUUGAUUUUUUGAGUCUCACAGAAUAUUGCAUAAAAGUUUAAAGAAAGGGGUAGAAAUCACUAUUGUUGUAUGCUUCUGUUUACAAUUAGAAAUACAACUUGAUGUGGUGUUUCUCCUGCUGCCAAACAAUACAUAUGCUUAGCCCAUUAAAUCACCCAUUUGAACAAUCGGUUGGGCCUAUCCCCUCCAAGUACAUGUAUAGCUUUGUUUGCUUUGUGCCUUGGCCCUUUUCCUACUUUGUGGGCAUCUAAAUUCAAAUGUGGGCCUGCUGUCCCUGACGUGUAAACUAUUUAUAACCCGGAUUAGACUGUGUGGUGUGAAAUCAGUACUUAUGUAGUUACAUUAAAUUCAUCUUAAGUGUGCGUUUUAGAUUUCGAUAUCCUUUUGUAAAUUACCUUGUUAUUAAUCUUUAUUUUUCUUUCUUUUACAUGUACACUUCGGAGCGAUAUGGGGUCUUCACAAAGAUACAUUAUUCGAAUAGUCUCAUUUUGAGAUUCCGCGGCAUUCGAACUUUGCAUGCGCAUUCCCAUUCGGCUCUCAUUCUCUCGACAUUCAUCCGAACAGAAAACAAAGAGAGUGGCUAGCCGAACGGCUAACCUCUAAAAACUCUACUCCUCUAUGGAAGCCAAAUAUGGCUUUAAUCAUCUUACUUUAUUUUUCGAUGCUUGUUUUUACGUUGGUGUGACUAACAUUUUACCUAGCUGUGGGAUUGUGAUAAAUACUUAGCUGCCUAUGUUUAACCGAGCCUAUUUCAUAUUAGGAUGUCUUAAUUAGUAAAUUUGGGUCUUAAA